GACGAACGCUGGCGGCGUGCUUAACACAUGCAAGUCGAACGGAAAGGCCCUGCUUUUGUGGGGUGCUCGAGUGGCGAACGGGUGAGUAACACGUGAGUAACCUGCCCUUGACUUUGGGAUAACUUCAGGAAACUGGGGCUAAUACCGGAUAGGAGCUCCUGCUGCAUGGUGGGGGUGGGACAGUUUCGGCGGUUGGGGAUGGACUCGCGGCUUAUCAGCUUGUUGGUGGGGUAGUGGCUUACCAAGGCUUUGACGGGUAGCCGGCCUGAGAGGGUGACCGGCCACAUGGGGACUGAGAUACGGCGCAGACUGCUACGGGAGGCAGCAGUGGGGAAUAUUGCACAAUGGGCGGAAGCCUGAUGAAGCAACGCCGCGUGCGGGAUGACGGCCUUCGGGUUGUAAACCGCUUUCGCCUGUGACGAAGCGUGAGUGACGGUAAUGGGUAAAGAAGCACCGGCUAACUACGUG
rnacentral:rRNA from 1 species